rnacentral:misc_RNA from 1 species
AAGAGAAUAUGAUGAAGUUGACUGCUGGUGUCAAUGGAGACGAAGAUGGUUUUAAGCUAUGGCAUGGAUUGGUGCGGCAAACUGAACUGACAGCUCAAUUGUGUUCAAUAAUGAAGGAUGUAAGAAAUGUGCGUGGCAAUACCCAAAAAAAGACAGAGAAGCUCCGACAGCUGCUUUCUGGUCUUUUGAGUGAACUUACAUACUUUGAUGAGCCCAUACGAUCGCCAUUGGCUCCAGGUGUGCUCAUUGUUGGGAUUGUGCCAGCAGAG